rnacentral:rRNA from 1 species
CACGUAGGGGGCAAGCGUUGUCCGGAUUUAUUGGGCGUAAAGAGCUCGUAGGCGGUUUCGUAAGUCGGAUGUGAAAACUCCAGGCUCAACUUGGAGACGCCAUUCGAUACUGCGAUGACUUGAGUCCGGUAGGGGAGUGUGGAAUUCCUGGUGUAGCGGUGAAAUGCGCAGAUAUCAGGAGGAACACCGGCGGCGAAGGCAGGUCUCUGGGCCACUACUGACGCUGAGAAGCGAAAGCAUGGGGAGCGAACAGG